GAGCUUUCAACAUGUGAGCUAGUUCUGUCUAUCAUUUAGAAAAGACAAGAGGGGAUGGUGCUGUGACUCAGGCAUUUGGGAAUGGAUUUUUGGCAGGACUUCUUGUUUGUUUUUGCAGGGAAGCUUAAUACUAGACAUCAAGUGCAGAAGCAUAAAGAGAGGGUGCUGUUUUUGCAAAUUUUCUUUUGAAAGUUCAGGAUUACAGCAAUGGAAGGCUGCUGCAGGCAAGUUUGAAUCCUCUUUUUCAACAUCAUGAAUGACUGGAAUAAAUUCUACUGUGAUUCAGAAGCCAACGCUUUAAGCUGUUUAUCAGAGGUUGCAUUACAGCAAGAAAGUGGCUGGGAAGGGUAUUUGUUCUGUUUUCAUAAAAGAUUGGAUUAGAAGAGAAACAGAUCUCAUUCCGAAAGUUAACUUUAGUAUUGAUGAUAUUACUAUCUGGGGUCCCCAACAUAAGAAGGAUGUGUUGAAGCAAGUCUAGAGGAUGGAAAUGGAGCUGAGUGCUGGAGCUUGUUUCCUAUGAAGACAGGCUGAAAGAGCUGGGGCUGUUCAUCCUGGACAAGAGAAGGCUCCAGGGACACCUCACAGCACCUUUUCCAGUACCUAAAGGGGACCUACAAGAAAGCUGGAGAGGGACUCUAUUUUAAAAAGAAAUAUGACUGACUGAACUUUAAAAUUGAACACGGAUAAAUGACUCCACAGGGAAAGUGAGGAACAGACUGGAAACCAUUCCCUAACCCCAGCACUGCAUGGAAUUUACAGGAACUAUCAGGAUACAAAACUUAAAAGUCAGCAGACUGUUCUCUGACACCAAAGACACAGAUCAGUGAAGAGGAGGAAACACUUUCUGUUUGCUCAUCUGUGGCAUUCAGACAGCACUACCAAAACACUCAUCCUUCGGCAGACAACUGUGGAAACUCUUUUCAGAGCAGGCAAGAUUGGGGAAAAACUGCUGUACCAGGAUUCCCCGCUCUUCUUGCACGGAGGAAGAAUUACUAACAGAGUCUCUGAGAGUCCCAAGAAGACUGGCAGAGGUAAAUGAUUCAGAACCUCACCAAAGACACCUCCCUGCUGUGAGUUCAGAUGCAUGACAGGGAUCCUCUGUUUCUGACUGUUCCCAGAUCUCAAACCUGAGUCACACAUGCCCUCACUCUCAAAACACCUCCCCCAAAAUGAUGGGAUGUACUAGCAGCUUUCUGAGUUAUACAAAAGCCAAAGACCUGAACUAACAGAACACAACAGAUGCAUGAGAAAGAGGAUAAGGCAAGAUUCAAUCUAUUUGUUCCACAUUUGCUUAUAAAGCUCCUAAACAUGUUUAUUCUACUAUUUCAGUUCCCCAAAAUGCUUCUUUUAGCCAGAGCAUAAACAUGGCAUUAACAAAUGUAUAAAUAUACACACAUGUACAGGGAGAGAGUGAGCGUGUGUGCACGUUUUGCAGUAUAUUUAUCAUCCCUGUCUUAGCACUAAAAAAAUAACAUACAGGAGAACCAUGGAUUCUAGAGGAAAUACAGAUCUUCAGGCACUCCACAGUAGAUUUGUUACUGAAUGGAGAGAAGUCAGAAGAAGAGAAUAAAAUUUUAUUUUGAUGCAUUCAAGAAAAAACAGAACUAUUUACAGGACUACAUUUGCUCUUUUCAUUGGUCAAAUGAAAAAUUUAUGAACUCCCCAAGAUUUCAGCAAUGAAAUCACUAAAGGAUCUAAAGCUGCUAAAACUAGUAUCUAAAAUCAGUCAUACUGGUUUCAGUAUUAGGAAAAAAAAUCUGAAUUAUGAACAUAUAUUUUUAAAAAAAGCUCAAAAUUGCUUUGCAUUUCUGCUGUCCCUCAAAGAUAGUGCAGCCUUUCCCCCUUUUUGAAUGCCUCUGACAUUUAUUUUUCUGACACUGAGGUGGAGUUAAACCAGUGGAGAUAAAAUUUGGGGCAUUUUCUUGUUCUUCUAAAUGAAGCUAACAUUGAGAUUUUGCAACUUUGUUUGUAAAAUAGUUGUAGUUGCUCUUGAAUGUAAAAAGAGGAGCUGAUGAUCCUUCUAACACCACCCCAUGGGACCAAAGAACUUUAGUUUUUAUGAGACUCAGCAGAAGUAGAAAAAGAAGGUCCUUGGUGGUGGUUCUUUUGCAAGGUUUUAAUAAUGUAUUUGUUAGUGCAAAGAUAAAUGGGUUCUCAAAUGAGUAGACAUCUGAGAUUUCAAAUCAAGCCAGUCUAAUUUAUUUUUGUUUUGGUUUUUUGCUUCCAUAUCUAAUUUCCAAACUGGUAUGGGCUUUGUCUUCUGCACCUCAUAGAGCAUUUAAGCUAAGUAGUAUUAAAGAAAUACUACACUUGAUGUGCCCUAGGAACUGGGAUACCCCUUCUUAAACUUGGGAGAAAGCACUGAUUUCUACAGCUUGUAAAUAAAAAAUUGGAACUGAAACAGAGAGGCAGAAUGAUGUAAUUAUAAACUUUGGUUUCUCAUGAUCUACUUGGGUGGAAAAUAGAACAGGUUUUCCUGCUCCACUGAGGUAUUAUUCUAGGUGUUAUAGUUCAAGUGAACACCAGUAACUUUGAACUUCUAGUAAAUUAGGCAUCCUUAGGUCUAGGCAUGAUUUCCAAAAGAAAUUUAUAGCCUUUAUAAGCAAAAGCCUAUCUCUGUCCCUAGUAUCUGUAAACACUCAACAUGAUUUCUCUCUAA